ACGGGAGGCAGCAGUGGGGAAUAUUGGGCAAUGGGCGAAAGCCUGACCCAGCAACGCCGCGUGAAGGAAGAAGGUCUUCGGAUUGUAAACUUCUUUUAUGAGGGACGAAGGACGUGACGGUACCUCAUGAAUAAGCAACGGCUAAUUACGUGCCAGCAGCCGCGGUAAUACGUAAGUUGCGAGCGUUGUUCGGAAUUAUUGGGCGUAAAGGGCAUGUAGGCGGAUAUGCAAGCUUGGUGUGAAAGGCGGGAGCUUAACUCCCGGACUGCGUUGAGAACUGCAUAACUAGAGUGACUGAGGGGCAGGCAGAAUUCCAGGUGUAGGGGUGAAAUCUGUAGAUAUCUGGAAGAAUACCAAUGGCGAAGGCAGCCUGCCAGCAGAUGACUGACGCUGAGGUGCGAAGGUGCGGGGAGCAAACAGGAUUAGAUACCCUGGUA
rnacentral:rRNA from 1 species